GGACUGUAGCUUAGGGGGUAGAUCACCUGCUUUGCAUGCAAAAGGUCCCGGGUUCAAUCCCCAGCAUCUCCA